rnacentral:rRNA from 1 species
GAUGAACGCUAGCGGCAGGCUUAAUACAUGCAAGUCGAGGGGUAACAGGUCUGUAGCAAUACAGAUGCUGACGACCGGCAAACGGGUGCGGAACACGUACAGAACCUUCCUUCGAGUGGGAGAUAGCCCAGGGAAACUUGGAGUAAUAUCCCAUAGGAUCAUAGAGUGGCAUCACUUAGUGAUUAAAGAUUUAUCGCUUGAAGAUGGCUGUGCGGCUGAUUAGGUAGUUGGUGUAGGUAACGGCUCACCAAGCCUUCGAUCAGUAACAGGUGUGAGAGCACGACCAGUCACACGGGCACUGGGACACGGGCCCGACUCCUACGGGAGGCAGCAGUAAGGAAUAUUGGGCAAUGGAGGCAACUCUGACCCAGCCAUGCCGCGUGGAGGAUGAAGGUCCUCUGGAUUGUAAACUUCUUUUAUUUGGGAAGAAAUGCCAAUUUUCUAAUUGGUUUGACGGUACCAGAUGAAUAAGCACCGGCUAACUCCGUGCCAGCCGCCGCGGUAAUAC